rnacentral:rRNA from 1 species
UACGGGGGGGGGCAAGCGUUGUUCGGAAUUACUGGGCGUAAAGGGCGCGUAGGCGGCCUGCUAAGUCGGAUGUGAAAUCCCUCGGCUCAACCGAGGAACUGCAUCCGAUACUGGCGGGCUUGAAUCCGGGAGAGGGAUGUGGAAUUCCAGGUGUAGCGGUGAAAUGCGUAGAUAUCUGGAGGAACACCGGUGGCGAAGGCGGCAUCCUGGACCGGUAUUGACGCUGAGGCGCGAAAGCCAGGGGAGCAAACAGG